GAUGAACGCUGGCGGCGUGCCUAAUACAUGCAAGUCGAGCGAACGGACGAGAAGCUUGCUUCUCUGAUGUUAGCGGCGGACGGGUGAGUAACACGUGGAUAACCUACCUAUAAGACUGGGAUAACUUCGGGAAACCGUAGCUAAUACCGGAUAAUAUUUUGAACCGCAUGGUUCAAAAGUGAAAGACGGUCUUGCUGUCACUUAUAGAUGGAUCCGCGCUGCAUUAGCUAGUUGGUAAGGUAACGGCUUACCAAGGCAACGAUGCAUAGCCGACCUGAGAGGGUGAUCGCCCACCCUGGAACUGAGACACGGUCCAGACUCCUACGGGAGGCAGCAGUAGGGAAUCUUCCGCAAUGGGCGAAAGCCUGACGGAGCAACGCCGCGUGAGUGAUGAAGGUCUUCGGAUCGUAAAACUCUGUUAUUAGGGAAGAACAUAUGUGUAAGUAACUGUGCACAUCUUGACGGUACCUAAUCAGAAAGCCACGGCUAACUACGUG
rnacentral:rRNA from 1 species